rnacentral:rRNA from 1 species
GACGAACGCUGGCGGCGUGCUUAACACAUGCAAGUCGAACGAAGAGCGAUGGACGCUUGCUUCUAUCAAUCUUAGUGGCGAACGGGUGAGUAACGCGUAAUCAACCUGCCCUUCAGAGGGGGACAACAGUUGGAAACGACUGCUAAUACCGCAUACGAUCUAAUCUCGGCAUCGAGGAUAGAUGAAAGGUGGCCUCUACAUGUAAGCUAUCACUGAAGGAGGGGAUUGCGUCUGAUUAGCUAGUUGGAGGGGUAACGGCCCACCAAGGCGAUGAUCAGUAGCCGGUCUGAGAGGAUGAACGGCCACAUUGGGACUGAGACACGGCCCAGACUCCUACGGGAGGCAGCAGUGGGGAAUCUUCCGCAAGGGACGAAAGUCUGACGGAGCAACGCCGCGUGAGUGAGGACGGCCUUCGGGUUGUAAAGCUCUGUUAAUCGGGACGAAAGGCCUUCUUGCGAAUAGUGAGAAGGAUUGACGGUACCGGAAUAGAAAGCCACGGCUAACUACGUG